ACAAGAUGAAAACCACAUUAGGUACACGAAGAUGUUACCAUGAAUAGAAGAAAUAAGUUAACCCAUUUCUGACGAAAACAGCCAAACAAGAAGAAAACAGAACUGAUGAUGAUUUCAUUCACUUGUGCCAUGUUUGCUAAGGUAAACGACCUAUGAAAAAGAAUUUGUAAUGAUCAAAGAAGAAAACAACCAGUAAAUAUAUUCCUCUGAGGUAGGAAAACAAAGCAACAACUGGAAGGGUGCAA